UACGUAGGGGGCGAGCGUUGUCCGGAGUUACUGGGCGUAAAGCGCACGCAGGCGGUCGGCCAAGUGCGGGGUGACAGGUCACGGCUCAACCGUGGCAGUGCCUCGCGGACUGGUGGACUUGAGGGCCAAAGAGGGACCGGGAACUCCAGGUGUAGUGGUGAAAUGCGUAGAUAUCUGGAAGAACACCGAUGGCGAAGGCACGGUCCUGGGUGGUUUCUGACGCUGAGGUGCGAAAGCCAGGGGAGCGAACGGG
rnacentral:rRNA from 1 species